UGGGGUCUCCAAGAAAAUUAGGGUGGUUCCUCCAAUCUUGGUUAUAUGUAUUUAAAAAUAGGUCAUUGAUAGGAUUGGAGUAACCUUGAGCAAUUUGAACUUAUUCUUGGAUGAAAGGUGAAAACUGUACAGCCAUAGGACAUUCACUAACAUGAUAGGCUGAGCUAGCACAAAUAGAAUAAAUCUCUUGAUAAUUAGAAGGUUGUGUGU
rnacentral:lncRNA from 1 species